rnacentral:lncRNA from 1 species
UUCAAUUCCAGCUGCAAGGUGCUCAGUGUUGUGACAAGCUGUGGGUCCUCAAAGCUGAGUACUGAAGGCUGAUUUCUGCUUCUGUUUUCAAGCCUUUCUGGACCCACUGAGGGAAGACAUUUUGUUGCUUGAAUUCAGAGGAGAAAGACAAGGGUGUUCCAGUGGCCAGCAUCCUCCUUCCUCCUGAUUUUUCAUAACAAGUGGUCAUUUCACACAGAAAUCCUGGGAGGCCCACUGAGAUCCAUCUCCUGGCUUCUCAUCUGCCCACAAGCAUGCAGUUGCAUUUAUCCCCCUGCUUCACACAGACUCAUCAAGCCUCCCCAGGGAGUUUUUAAGCUGCAAGGUGCUCAGUGUUGUGACAAGCUGUGUGUCCUCAAAGCUGAGUACUGAAGGUUGAUUUCUGCUUCUGUUUUCAAGCCUUUCUGGACCCACUGAGGGAAGACAUUUUGUUGCUUGAAUUCAGAGGAGAAAGACAAGGGUGUUCCAGUGGCCAGCAUCCUCCUUCCACCUUAUUUUUCAUAACAAGUGGUCAUUUCACACAGAAAUCCUGGGAGGAGAAAGACAAGGGUGUUCCAGUGGCCAGCAUCCUCCUUCCACCUGAUUUUUCAUAACAAGUGGUCAUUUCACACAGAAAUCCUGGGAGGCCCACUGAGAUCCAUCUCCUGGCUUCUCUUCUGCCCACAAGCAUGCAGUUGCAUUUAUCCCCCUGCUUCACACAGACUCAUCAAGCCUCCCCAGGGAGUUUUUAAGCUGCAAGGUGCUCAGUGUUGUGACAAGCUGUGGGUCCUCAAAGCUGAGUACUGAAGGCUGAUUUCUGCUUCUGUUUUCAAGCCUUUCUGGACCCACUGAGGGAAGACAUUUUGUUGCUUGAAUUCAGAGGUCAACAUUUGUUUGUCUUUUUUCAUACUGACCUUUUUUAAAGGCAGUUUUUUAAAUGACAUUCCUGCACUGCAGUAAAUUUUCUUUUCCUUUCUCAUUAACACUCAUCCCUGUCACAUGCAGACAUUUGAUAUGUGUUAAGUGUACAGUGCACAUUGUGAGUGCUUCUUCUAACUUUUUCUGUCCAAAUUCUCCUAUCUGUGUCAUUAAACUUUAUUUUAAGUG